rnacentral:rRNA from 1 species
GUCUACGGCCAUACCACCCUGAACGCGCCCGAUCUCGUCUGAUCUUGGAAGCUAAGCAGGGUCGGGCCUGGUUAGUACUUGGAUGGGAGAAAUUGAAACUUUCUUACAGAUAUGGGAGAUAUGAUUCUCUGAAAGCC